AUAGUAUUUCGAGUAUUUUUAAUGCAUUUUAAUAUUGUGAAAAUGUUUUUAUUUAAAUUGAAUAAUAGAAUGGUUGGACCAUUGAGCAUUUUCUUACGAAAGAGCAUGGAUGUGAGUGUUGUGCUCUUGUCUAAGAGUAGGGAGUAAAAAAGUAAUAAAAGUGGGUCCGGGCCCAUAUCAUGCUUUUUGGCAAGAGCACGGAUGGGGAUGUUACGUCACAUUGAUGAAGACAACGUACAAAUAUAUAUUCGUGCCUUCUUGGAUGCUCAAACAUUUUAGUAUCUCUCUUUUUCUUGAUAGUGCUUCCAUUUCCUUCACUCUAUGCGUUUUCGUGGCGAAUCUGGAGGAUUUUGAGGUUCUCUGUGUGACCCGUUUCUUAAAGGUUCGUCAAUGGAGGAGGAAAUCUCAUGGGCUAGUCAUUGUUUUGACAACGUUGAUAGCUGCUCUGUGGGAUUUAACUCGUUCUCGGAGCUUAAUGAGGAAGCCGACAGAGGAGUUUCUGCAGUUUCUAUGGAUGUAGUUCUGCCCGAUGAUCUUCUGGAACGGAUAUUAUCCUAUCUCCCCAUCGCUAGCACCUUUAGGGCAGGAUGCGUGUGCAAAAGAUGGCAUGAGAUAGUGACAUCGAAGAGGUUUCUUUGGAACAAUUCUCAUGCGUUGUUACAAAAGCCUUGGUACUUCAUGUUCACGAGCUCUGACGACCCGAUUGGUUAUGCGUAUGAUCCCAUUCUCCGUAAGUGGUAUGGCAUCGACUUUCCCUGCAUCGAGAAAUCCAACUGGUUCAUAGCUUCAUCGAGUGGCCUAGUCUGUGUUAUGGACAACGAUAGCAGGAGUGAGCUGUAUGUAUGCAACCCGAUCACCAAAUGUUGCAAAGGACUUGAUGAGCCUCCGGGCCCUAAAUUUCCUGACUACAGUGCUUUAGCGGUCUCAGUCAACAGAGCGACUCGCAGUUACAAUGUCUCGAUUAUCAAAUCCAAGCAGGUCCCUGAAAACUUCUUUCAGUGGGAUCUGUCCAUCCAUGUCUAUGAUUCAGAAACGCAGGAAUGGCUAACGGAUCUGACGGAGGUUUUAACAGGGUGGAGAGCCGGUGAUGAGAGUGUGAUAUGUGAUGGUGUAUUAUACUUCUUGAUUUACUCGAUCGGAGGUGGUGGCCCUGACAACCGCCACGGCCUUAUCAUGUAUAACCUCAGAAGCCGGUCGCCUUAUGGCCUACUGAUGAGGAGUUUUGUUCCGGUUCCGUGCUCUCUCACAUGUGGCCGCCUGAUGAACCUGAAGGAAAAACUUGUGAUGGUCGGAGGCAUUGGCAAGCAUGAUCGACCGGGCAUUAUAAAGGGCAUCGGGAUCUGGCUUCUGAAGGGGAGAGAAUGGCAAGAGAUUGCCCGAAUGCCCCAUAAAUACUUUCAAGGUUUUGGUGAGUUUGACGACGUCUUUGCCAGCAGUGGGAUGGGCGAUCUCAUAUACAUUCAAAGUUACGGGGCGCCUAUGCUUCUUGUUUUCGACUUUGACCAGAAGCAGUGGAAGUGGUCUCAGAAAUGCCCCGUGAUCAAGAGGUUCCCCCUUCAGCUAUUCACCGGCUUUUGCUUCGAACCAAGGCUCGAAAUCGCGCCCUAGAUUUCCUGCUUAGUACAUAUAUUUAAUCCAAUUGUACAUGAAGCAGCCAUUGAUGCCACCAUGUUCUCUGGGGUGAGCAUUCGGGUUCCAGCCUCGAUGCAGCCUCGAAAUCUCGCCUUCGAGAUCCGUUUGAUUCUUCAAAUCGGCAAGUCCGGAGCUCAAUUCGUCGACAGAUGUAUACGAUUAUGGAAUGAUUAGCAUAUAUUUUAUUGAGGCUGUAGUGAGGAUGAGCAGCGGCGGUAAAUUGUAAUGCAAAGUGAAGGGGAUAAUUGUGGUUUUUGCGUGGGUAAAUUGUAUUGCCUGAGCGGAUCCUAUUUUUUUGGAAAAAUUGAUUAGUUGAUUUUCAUCUAAUUUGGUUAUUGUAAUCUGGCUGUAAUUGAUUGAUGCUCAUCGACAUAGUAUGAAAUUAGAGGAAUGGAUUGA